GAACGGGUGAGUAACACGUGGGUAAUCUGCCCUGCACUCUGGGAUAAGCCUGGGAAACUGGGUCUAAUACUGGAUAUGACCUUUCUCCUUAUGGGGUUUGGUGGAAAGUUUUUCGGUGUAGGAUGAGCCCGCGGCCUAUCAGCUUGUUGGUGGGGUGAUGGCCUACCAAGGCGACGACGGGUAGCCGGCCUGAGAGGGUGAUCGGCCACAUUGGGACUGAGAUACGGCCCAGACUCCUACGGGAGGCAGCAGUGGGGAAUAUUGCACAAUGGGCGGAAGCCUGAUGCAGCGACGCCGCGUGAGGGAUGACGGCCUUCGGGUUGUAAACCUCUUUCAGCAGGGACGAAGCGUAAGUGACGGUACCUGCAGAAGAAGCACCGGCUAACUACGUGCCAGCAGCCGCGGUAAUACGUAGGGUGCGAGCGUUGUCCGGAAUUACUGGGCGUAAAGAGCUCGUAGGCGGUUUGUCACGUCGUCUGUGAAAUCCUAGGGCUUAACCCUGGACGUGCAGGCGAUACGGGCUGACUUGAGUACUACAGGGGAGACUGGAAUUUCUGGUGUAGCGGUGGAAUGCACAGAUAUCAGGAAGAACACCGAUGGCGAAGGCAGGUCUCUGGGUAGUAACUGACGCUGAGGAGCGAAAGCAUGGGUAGCGAACAGGAUUAGAUACCCUGGUAGUCCAUGCCGUAAACGGUGGGCGCUAGGUGUGGAGUUCCUUCCACGGGCUCCGCGCCGUAGCUAACGCAUUAAGCGCCCCGCCUGGGGAGUACGGCCGCAAGGCUAANACUCAAAGAAAUUGACGGGGGCCCGCACAAGCGGCGGAGCAUGUGGAUUAAUUCGAUGNCACGCGAAGAACCUUACCNNGGCU
rnacentral:rRNA from 1 species